rnacentral:rRNA from 1 species
AGAGUUUGAUCCUGGCUCAGAACGAACGCUGGCGGCGUGCCUAACACAUGCAAGUCGAACGAGAAAGUUUCCUUCGGGAAACCGGUAAAGUGGCGCAAGGGUGAGUAACACGUGAAUAAUCUGCCCUCAAGAUUGGGAUAACUUGGCGAAAGUUGAGCUAAUACCGGAUAAGACCACGUUUCAUAAGAAAUGCGGUCAAAGGGGUCUCAAUCCCCGUUUGAGGAUGAGUUCGCGGACCAUUAGCUAGUUGGUGAGAUAAAAGCUCACCAAGGCUUCGAUGGUUAGCCGGCCUGAGAGGGUGAACGGCCACACUGGAACUGAGACACGGUCCAGACUCCUACGGGAGGCAGCAGUGGGGAAUAUUGCGCAAUGGGCGAAAGCCUGACGCAGCAACGCCGCGUGAGGGAUGAAGGUUUUAGGAUCGUAAACCUCUGUCGGAUGGGAAGAAUAAUGACGGUACCAUCAGAGGAAGCCCCGGCUAACUCCGUGCCAGCAGCCGCGGUAAUACGGAGGGGGCAAGCGUUGUUCGGAAUUAUUGGGCGUAAAGCGUAUGUAGGCGGUUAGACAAGUCAGACGUGUAAGCCCGUGGCUCAACCACGGAAUUGCGUUUGAAACUGUUUAACUUGAGUGCAGGAGAGGAAAGCGGAAUUCCCAGUGUAGCGGUGAAAUGCAUUGAUAUUGGGAAGAACAUCGGUGGCGAAGGCGGCUUUCUGGCCUGAUACUGACGCUGAGAUACGAAAGCUAGGGGAGCGAACGGGAUUAGAUACCCCGGUAGUCCUAGCUGUAAACGAUGGGUACUAGGUGCAGGAGGUAUCGAUCCCUUCUGUGUCGCAGCUAACGCAUUAAGUGCCCCGCCUGGGGAGUACGGCCGCAAGGCUAAAACUCAAAGGAAUUGACGGGGACCCGCACAAGCGGUGGAGCAUGUGGUUUAAUUCGAUGCAACGCGAAGAACCUUACCUGGGUUUAAAUUGUAUGGGACAGCUAUGGAAACAUAGUCUCUCUUCGGAGCCCAUAUGAAGGUGCUGCAUGGCUGUCGUCAGCUCGUGUCGUGAGAUGUUGGGUUAAGUCCCGCAACGAGCGCAACCCCUGCCCUUAGUUGCCAGCGGUUCGGCCCGGGAACUCUAGAGGGACUGCCGGGGUCAACUCGGAGGAAGGUGGGGAUGACGUCAAGUCAUCAUGCCCCUUAUGCCCAGGGCUGCAAACACGCUACAAUGGCCGGUACAAAGGGCUGCGAUCCCGUGAGGGUGAGCGAAUCCCAUCAAAGCCGGUCUCAGUUCGGAUUGGAGUCUGCACUCGACUCCAUGAAGCCGGAGUUGCUAGUAAUCCUGGAUCAGCACGCCAGGGUGAAUACGUUCCCGGGCCUUGUACACACCGCCCGUCACACCACGAAAGUCGGCAACACCCGAAGCCGGUGGCCCAACCCUUUUGGGAGGGAGCCGUCGAAGGUGGGAUCGGUGAUUGGGGUGAAGUCGUAACAAGGUAACC